rnacentral:tRNA from 1 species
GGCAGUGUGAUUUAGUGGACAGAAUACAGACCUGGGAGUCAGAAGGACUGGGUUCUAAUUUCAGCUCUGCCA